rnacentral:tRNA from 1 species
CCGCGGUAGUAUAGUGGUGAGUAUUCCUGCCUGUCACGCAGGAGACCCGGGUUCAAUUCCCGGCCGCGGAAUUUGA